GGAUAGCUCAGUUGGUUAGAGCAUGGUGCUGGCAACACCAAAGUCGCAGGUUCGAUCCCUGUGUGGGACA